AUGGCAAGUAGUAGUUCUGCAGGAGGUGACACGGUGAGUAAGCUGGUGACCAUCCUGAGCAUCGAUGGCGGCGGCGUGAGAGGGAUCAUCCCGGCCACCGUCCUCGCCUUCCUUGAGAAGGAGCUUCAGAAACUGGAUGGGCCGGAUGUUAGGAUUGCGGAUUACUUCGACGUGGUCGCCGGCACCAGCACCGGUGGCCUCUUGACGGUGAUGCUCACGGCGCCGGACAAGGAUGGACGGCCGCUGUUCGAUGCCAAGGAUCUGGCAAAGUUCUACAUCGACGAGUCGCCCAAAAUCUUCCCACAGAAGGACUCAAUCUUCUCCAAGAUCGGCACAGCUCUGGGGAUGGUGACCGGGCCCAAGUACAACGACAAGUACCUUCAGUCGCUCCUCCGUCGGCACCUCGGCGAAACGAAGCUGGACGGAGCUCUCACCAGCGUGGUGAUCCCGGCCUUCGAUAUCGCCCACUUGCAACCCACCAUCUUCUCCAGCUUCCAGUUGAAGAACCAGCCAGCAAAGAACGCGCUCCUGUCAGACAUCGCCAUCGGGACCUCCGCCGCACCCACCUUCUUCCCGGCGCAUUACUUUGAGACCGAAGACGGCAAGGGCGGCACAAGGGCCUUCAACCUCAUCGACGGUGGCGUGGCCGCCAACAACCCUACACUAUGCGCGAUGAGCCAUGUGGCGGAGGACAUCAUCGUGGCUGGGAACGGUGACUUGCUCGGGAAGUCAUACAUGGUCAUCUCCAUCGGCUGCGGGACGUCUUCGAAUCCAAAAGGCAAGUAUAGUGCUAAGGACACCGCCAAGUGGGGCAUCCUGAACUGGAUCCUCAAGGGCGGCACCGUCCCGAUCCUCGACAUGUUCAAUGCAGCUAGCGGCGACAUGGUCGACAUCCACCUCUCUGUCCUCUCCGCCGCCCUCGGCUCCUCCCAUCAAUACCUGCGUAUCCAGUAUGAUCAACUGAGCGGAAGCGCGGGCUCGAUCGACGACUGCUCCAAAGCUAACUUGGAUAAGCUGGUGGAGAUUGGGAAUGAGCUUCUCGGAAAGAAGGUAUCUCAGGUGGACCUAGAGACAGGCCGGAAUGUGGAGGUACCCGAUGAGGGUACCAACGCGGAGCAACUAGCCAAGUUUGCAAAGCAGCUCUCCCAUGAGAGGCGUCGCCGUCACAACGAACUAGCAACUGCACAGACCUAG
rnacentral:rRNA from 1 species